rnacentral:tRNA from 1 species
GAUCCCGUAGCUCAGCAGGAUAGAGCGACAGAUUCCUAAUCUGUAGGCCGCGCGUUCGAAUCGCGCCGGGAUCACCA